rnacentral:rRNA from 1 species
AUUGAACGCUGGCGGCAUGCCUUACACAUGCAAGUCGAACGGCAGCACGGGUGCUUGCACCUGGUGGCGAGUGGCGAACGGGUGAGUAAUACAUCGGAACGUACCUUAUCGUGGGGGAUAACGCAGCGAAAGCUGUGCUAAUACCGCAUACGCCCUGAGGGGGAAAGCGGGGGAUCGCAAGACCUCGCGCGAUUAGAGCGGCCGAUGCCUGAUUAGCUUGUUGGUGGGGUAAAAGCCCACCAAGGCGACGAUCAGUAGCUGGUCUGAGAGGACGAUCAGCCACACUGGGACUGAGACACGGGCCCGACUCCUACGGGAGGCAGAAGUGGGGAAUUUGGGACAAUGGGGGCGACCCUGAUCCAGCAAUGCCGCGUGAGUGAAGAAGGCCUUCGGGUUGUAAAGCUCUUUUGUCAGGGAAGAAACACCGGCUCUAACACAGUCUGGGAAUGACGGUACCUGAAGAAUAAGCACCGGCUAACUACGUGCCAGCCGCCGCGGUCC